GGAUAGCUCAGUCGGUAGAGCUUGAGACUCUCAGGGUUGUGGGUUCAAGCCCCACAUUGGGGGGAAAUA